rnacentral:rRNA from 1 species
UGGGCGCAAGCCUGAUCCAGCAAUGCCGCGUGCAGGAUGAAGGCCUUCGGGUUGUAAACUGCUUUUGUACGGAACGAAAAGCUCUGGGUUAAUACCCUGGGGUCAUGACGGUACCGUAAGAAUAAGCACCGGCUAACUACGUGCCAGCAGCCGCGGUAAUACGUAGGUGGCAAGCGUUAUCCGGAAUUAUUGGGCGUAAAGCGCGCGCAGGCGGUUUCUUAAGUCUGAUGUGAAAGCCCACGGCUCAACCGUGGAGGGUCAUUGGAAACUGGGGAACUUGAGUGCAGAAGAGAAAAGCGGAAUUCCACGUGUAGCGGUGAAAUGCGUAGAGAUGUGGAGGAACACCAGUGGCGAAGGCGGCUUUUUGGUCUGUAACUGACGCUGAGGCGCGAAAGCGUGGGGAGCAAACAGGAUUAGAUACCCUGGUAGUCCACGCCGUAAACGAUGAGUGCUAAGUGUUAGAGGGUUUCCGCCCUUUAGUGCUGCAGCUAACGCAUUAAGCACUCCGCCUGGGGAG